CAGUAGGGGUCCUUUCUGCCCUGGACCGCUCAGCUCUGUUACACUCAGGCAAUGCAUCGGCCAGCUCUAGUGCCGUCCCCAGCCCCGGCCAGCCUGCCUCCCCAGCCAUCAACAAGAAACAACGCCACAGCACCAAGUCGACAGCAGACGUGCAACUGCUGAAGCCUCAGCCUCGUCCUGUAACAGGGGAAAUACAGCUCCAGAUCCACUACGACAGGAACCUGGGGAACCUGAUAGUGCAUGUCCUCCAGGCCAGGAACCUUGCUCAGAGAGACCCCAAAGAAUACUCUGACCCCUUUGUCAAGGUCUACCUCCUACCAGGGAGAGGACAAGUCAUGGUAGUCCAGAACGCAAG